rnacentral:rRNA from 1 species
GACGAACGCUGGCGGCGUGCCUAAUACAUGCAAGUCGAGCGGACGAAUCGAAAGCUUGCUUUUGAUUCGUUAGCGGCGGACGGGUGAGUAACACGUGGGCAACCUGCCCUGUAGACGGGGAUAACACCGAGAAAUCGGUGCUAAUACCGGAUAACACGAAAUGUCGCAUGACGUUUCGUUGAAAGACGGCGCAAGCUGUCGCUACAGGAUGGGCCCGCGGCGCAUUAGCUAGUUGGUGAGGUAACGGCUCACCAAGGCGACGAUGCGUAGCCGACCUGAGAGGGUGAUCGGCCACACUGGGACUGAGACACGGCCCAGACUCCUACGGGAGGCAGCAGUAGGGAAUCUUCCGCAAUGGACGAAAGUCUGACGGAGCAACGCCGCGUGAGUGAAGAAGGUUUUCGGAUCGUAAAACUCUGUUGUUAAAGAAGAACGAGGAUGAGAGUAACUGCUCAUCCCCUGACGGUAUUUAACCAGAAAGCCACGGCUAACUACGUGCCAGCAGCCGCGGUAAUACGUAGGUGGCAAGCGUUGUCCGGAUUUAUUGGGCGUAAAGCGAGCGCAGGCGGUUCUUUAAGUCUGAUGUGAAAGCCCCCGGCUCAACCGGGGAGGGUCAUUGGAAACUGGAGAACUUGAGUGCAGAAGAGGAGAGUGGAAUUCCACGUGUAGCGGUGAAAUGCGUAGAUAUGUGGAGGAACACCAGUGGCGAAGGCGACUCUCUGGUCUGUAACUGACGCUGAGGCUCGAAAGCGUGGGGAGCAAACAGG